CAGAAUUUUGAGAAUUGUGCUUAACUGCACUUUUCUUAUCUACACACGUGUUUUUGUUUUAUUCUUAAAACUUGCUUUGGCAGUGGCUGCUUAAUUGCUCUGCUGCCAGAGGAUAAACUCAACCUAAAUUUUUUAUUUUAAACUAGUCAACUGAUUAUAUUUAUUAAUAGUCA
rnacentral:misc_RNA from 1 species